UAACACGUGAGCAAUCUGCCCUUCACUUUGGGAUAACUUCCGGAAACGGAAGCUAAUACCGAAUACGACCACUUCAGGCAUCUGAUGGUGGUGGAAAGUUCCGGCGGUGAAGGAUGAGCUCGCGGCCUAUCAGCUUGUUGGUGAGGUAAUGGCUCACCAAGGCUUCGACGGGUAGCCGGCCUGAGAGGGUGACCGGCCACACUGGGACUGAGACACGGCCCAG
rnacentral:rRNA from 1 species